GAUGAACGCUGGCGGCGUGCCUAAUACAUGCAAGUCGAGCGAGCGGCGGACGGGUGAGUAAUGUCUGGGAAACUGCCUGAUGGAGGGGGAUAACUACUGGAAACGGUAGCUAAUACCGCAUACCAUCAGAUGUGCCCAUAUGGGAUUAGCUUGGGGGUGGGGUAAUGGCUCACCUAGGCGACGAUCCCUAGCUGGUCUGAGAGGAUGACCAGCCACCCUGGAACUGGGACACGGCCCAGACUCCUACGGGAGGCAGCAGGGGGGAAUAGUGCACAAUGGGCGCAAGCCUGAUGCAGCCAGGCCGCGUGUGUGAAGAAGGCCUUCGGGUUGUAAAGCACUUUCAGCGAGGAGGCGUUACCCGCAGAAGAAGCACCGGCUAACUCCGUGCCAGCAGCCGCGGUAAUAC
rnacentral:rRNA from 1 species